rnacentral:rRNA from 1 species
UACGAAGGUCCCAAGCGUUAUCCGGAUUUAUUGGGUUUAAAGGGUGCGUAGGCGGUCUAUUAAGUCAGUGCUGAAAUAUCCCGGCUUAACCGGGAGGGUGGCAUUGAUACUGAUGGACUUGAGUGCAGUCGAGGUAGGCGGAAUUGACGGUGUAGCGGUGAAAUGCUUAGAUAUCGUCAAGAACACCGAUAGUGAAGACAGCUUACUAGACUGUAACUGACGCUGAGGCACGAAAGUGUGGGGAUCAAACAGG